UACAGAGGGUGCGAGCGUUAAUCGGAAUUACUGGGCGUAAAGCGUGCGUAGACGGCUAUCUAAGUCGGGUGUGAAAGCCCCGGGCUCAACCUGGGAAUUGCAUUCGAGACUGAAUAGCUAGGGUACGGUAGAGGGAAGCGGAAUUUCCGGUGUAGCGGUGAAAUGCGCAGAUAUCAGGAGGAACACCGGUGGCGAAGGCGGGACUCUGGGCCGAUACUGACGCUGAGGAGCGAAAGCGUGGGGAGCAAACAGG
rnacentral:rRNA from 1 species